rnacentral:rRNA from 1 species
GAGCGGAUGACGGGAGCUUGCUCCUUGAUUCAGCGGCGGACGGGUGAGUAAUGCCUAGGAAUCUGCCUGGUAGUGGGGGACAACGUUUCGAAAGGAACGCUAAUACCGCAUACGUCCUACGGGAGAAAGCAGGGGACCUUUGGGCCUUGCGCUAUCAGAUGAGCCUAGGUCGGAUUAGCUAGUUGGUGGGGUAAUGACUCACCAAGGCGACGAUCCGUAACUGGUCUGAGAGGAUGAUCAGUCACACUGGAACUGAGACACGGUCCAGACUCCUACGGGAGGCAGCAGUGGGGAAUAUUGGACAAUGGGCGAAAGCCUGAUCCAGCCAUGCCGCGUGUGUGAAGAAGGUCUUCGGAUUGUAAAGCACUUUAAGUUGGGAGGAAGGGCAGUAAGUUAAUACCUUGCUGUUUUGACGUUACCGACAGAAUAAGCACCGGCUAACUCUGUG